CGGAUGUCCACAUGAGUACGGCGU
rnacentral:siRNA from 1 species